GCGGGUCUGGCUCGUCAUCCCCCCCGGAGCCAGGCCCCUGACGGCCGCUGGAAUCCCCCCCUCCAGCGGCCGUCCUUU
rfam:Stackebrandtia nassauensis DSM 44728, complete genome.